GAAAUGCGAUACGUAAUGCGAAUUGCAGAACUCAGUGAAUCAUCAAAUCUUUGAACGCAAAUGGCGCUUUUAGGAUAGGCCUGAAAGCACGCCUCUUUGAGUAUCGAUUCCACCACAACAAGUCAACUUGUUUGAAUUUGUUGAAAUUGAGUAUUCAUCUUUUUUCUUGAAAAGAGAUGUUACUUGAAGCUGAAUAGGUUUAUCAAGGAUUUUUGUUCGUUUAAACUAUUUGUUGACUUCGGUUGACGAAUGAUUUUCACGACACGUGGGUAAAUUAUCCAAUACGUGACAUGAAUAUAAAUGUUUAUCCGAUUUUUCAAGAAUCACAACCUUUAACCCCAAUCUAAUCUGAGAAUUAGAUCUCAAAUGAAGCGAGAAUACCCGCUGAACUUAA
rnacentral:misc_RNA from 1 species